UUGAAAUUCACAAUGCAAUGACGUUUAUACCGCGGGAAAACAACACGUCGUUUUGAGAAGUUAUGUCCAUAAAGGCGUGAGAUGUUGAGGCGUGAGAUGUUGAGGUGCCGAUUUGUUGUGGUGGCUAACGUGUAGCUGUAGGGGCUGGUUUUGAGGAGAUUCGUUCUUUUUGGGAAUGGUGGUUGGAGGUGACUUUUCAAUUGCCCGCUCGGGCUCCCUUGUCGACAGAUGCAUGUUAGUCUGUUAUGGAUUUCGGAAAUCUUGUUAGUUCUCGGAGAAGUUGUAGGCGUUUUUCCCGGAGGUUUGAAGGCUGGCCUAAAGAAUGUGAUGCUCGUGGUAAUAAAGAUGAGAAUUCUAGCUCUUUUGAACUAUGGCAAAAAUAAGAUAGUCUGCGUUUCGGCGUGUGAUUGCUGCUUUCGUGUUUGGUUUUGCUUCGGUUAUCUUUAUUAUCUUCGUUAACCGUUUUCUUAGUUUUCGUGUCUGUUUUAUCUUGGUUGUGG
rnacentral:lncRNA from 1 species